GAAACCGCUAGUGAGACCUCUGGUUCUUCUUUUGGUUUGAGGCACUGUGGGACAGUGCUCUGCAUCGCCGGCUCGUGACAAGUGGCGCCCGAACAGGGACCUGAAAUUGUAGCGGUGAGCGGUGAGUAAUCAGAAGAAGCCUGCUAUCAAAAAGGGCUCGGCCGAGUGGAAACAAGGAGGCCACCGCUGUCUGGAACGCCCGGCAGGGAAAAUCCUUGGAGAAGCAGGUACAUUUAUAGACCCACCACUAUACCUGAAGAGCUUGAAUCUGGGUUUCCACUGCGGAGACUGAUUGGGACCCCAAC
rnacentral:lncRNA from 1 species